AUGAGUGCAUGCUCGAUGUGCGCGUAUGCGAGUGUAUGCGAUGUGCUUAAACGUGCAUAAUUGAACAAGAUGGCCACAGUGGAAUAAAAUGCGUGCGGUGUCGGGUUUUCUUUUAAAAAGUUUUCUUUUAAAAAGUAGUUUUUUGCAAGUUUUUUGUGCAUAAUCGGUCGGUCUGAUUAAUUAAAUCUUAUAGCAAAGCUUCAACGACAAUGUCCGGCGUCCGGGAACCUCGCUCGCGGUCCCGCGAACUCUGAGAACUGGGAGAACCCGCCGUCCUGAAGUUGAGCUGGUGAAGCACUGGCGGCGGAAGAGAUUUAGAGACUGCAUGAGGCCUCGAUUGAACGGUAAACUCGCGUGAAGAAGCGGUUUCAGGACGAUGGCGCCCGGGGAGAUGUUGCACAAACGAGUUUCACCACCCACCGUGGCCGCCGUGAUUGUCUUUGUAGUAGUACAAGCUGCAGUCGCACCAAUCGAAAUUAGCAGACGGCGAAAAGUCGACGAUCCGGAUAAUGUCCCGACUCUUCAACACGCCGCGGUCAAAUAACUAUAAACAUGAGUGCCAGGGAGCAGCGGACCCGAACCAUCGCCCUGACUACACUCCUGGCUUAGCGGCAGCUCGAGCAUCGCAUCACGGUGGAUAACCUUCUCCGCGAUCUUGACCUGGCCCGGUACUUCCUGGUCAUCUGACGCUGUCCGAGGAUGAUAUGCACACGAACGGGUUCGACUAUCAGCGAGAUUUCGAGCAGAUUCUUGACAAGGUGGCCAGAUUCGGGAUGAGAAAAAUGCUUUAGUGUUUCAAUUAUUUAUGCUAAUGUAUGU